UACGUAGGGGGCAAGCGUUGUCCGGAAUCAUUGGGCGUAAAGAGCGUGUAGGCGGCCAGAUAAGUCCGCUGUGAAAUCUCGAGGCUCAACUUCGAGCUGUCGGUGGAAACUGUCUGGCUAGAGUCCGGAAGAGGAGAAUGGAAUUCCUGGUGUAGCGGUGGAAUGCGUAGAGAUCCGGAAGAACACCGGUGGCGAAGGCGGCCUGCUGGGCAGUAGCUGACACUGAGGCGCGACAGCGUGGGGAGCAAACAGG
rnacentral:rRNA from 1 species